rnacentral:rRNA from 1 species
CCCUUAGAUGUCCUGGGCCGCACGCGCGCUACACUGAUGCAUUCAACGAGUUUUACCUUGGCCGAGAGGCCUGGGCAAUCUUUUAAACCUGCAUCGUGAUAGGGAUAGAUUAUUGCAAUUAUUAAUCUUGACCGAGGAAUUCCUAGUAAACGCAGAUCAUCAAUCUGCAUUGAUUACGUCCCUGCCCUUUGUACACACCGCCCGUCGCGCCUACCGAUUGAAUGGUCCGGUGAAGCCUCGGGAUUGUGGCCAGUUCACUUUAUUGGGAGUUGGCUGCGAGAACUUGUCUAAACCUUAUCAUUUAGAGGAAGGUGAAGUCGUAACA